rnacentral:rRNA from 1 species
UGGGGAAUUUUGGACAAUGGGCGAAAGCCUGAUCCAGCAAUGCCGCGUGUGUGAAGAAGGCCUUCGGGUUGUAAAGCACUUUUGUCCGGAAAGAAAUCCUUGGCUCUAAUACAGUCGGGGGAUGACGGUACCGGAAGAAUAAGCACCGGCUAACUACGUGCCAGCAGCCGCGGUAAUACGUAGGGUGCAAGCGUUAAUCGGAAUUACUGGGCGUAAAGCGUGCGCAGGCGGUUUGCUAAGACCGAUGUGAAAUCCCCGGGCUCAACCUGGGAACUGCAUUGGUGACUGGCAGGCUAGAGUAUGGCAGAGGGGGGUAGAAUUCCACGUGUAGCAGUGAAAUGCGUAGAGAUGUGGAGGAAUACCGAUGGCGAAGGCAGCCCCCUGGGCCAAUACUGACGCUCAUGCACGAAAGCGUGGGGAGCAAACAGGAUUAGAUACCCUGGUAGUCCACGCCCCUAAAACGAUGUCAACUAGUUGUUGGGGGAUUCAUUUCCUUAGUAACGUAGCUAACGCGUGAAGUUGACCGCCU